AACGAACGCUGGCGGCAGGCCUAACACAUGCAAGUCGAGCGCCCCGCAAGGGGAGCGGCAGACGGGUGAGUAACGCGUGGGAAUCUACCCAUCCCUACGGAAUAGCUCCGGGAAACUGGAAUUAAUACCGUAUACGCCCUACGGGGGAAAGGUUUAUCGGGGAUGGAUGAGCCCGCGUUGGAUUAGCUAGUUGGUGGGGUAAAGGCCUACCAAGGCGACGAUCCAUAGCUGGUCUGAGAGGAUGAUCAGCCACAUUGGGACUGAGACACGGCCCAAACUCCUACGGGAGGCAGCAGUGGGGAAUAUUGGACAAUGGGGGCAACCCUGAUCCAGCCAUGCCGCGUGAGUGAUGAAGGCCUUAGGGUUGUAAAGCUCUUUCACCGGGGAAGAUAAUGACGGUACCCGGAGAAGAAGCCCCGGCUAACUCCGUGCCAGCAGCCGCCGUAAGAC
rnacentral:rRNA from 1 species